rnacentral:rRNA from 1 species
AGCGAACGCUGGCGGCAGGCUUAACACAUGCAAGUCGAGCGGGCGUAGCAAUACGUCAGCGGCAGACGGGUGAGUAACGCGUGGGAACAUACCUUUUGGUUCGGAACAACACAGGGAAACUUGUGCUAAUACCGGAUAAGCCCUUACGGGGAAAGAUUUAUCGCCGAAAGAUUGGCCCGCGUCUGAUUAGCUAGUUGGUGAGGUAACGGCUCACCAAGGCGACGAUCAGUAGCUGGCUGAGAGAAUGAUCAGCCACAUUGGGACUGAGACACGGCCCAAACUCCUACGGGAGGCAGCAGUGGGGAAUAUUGGACAAUGGGCGCAAGCCUGAUCCAGCCAUGCCGCGUGAGUGAUGAAGGCCCUAGGGUUGUAAAGCUCUUUUGUGC